CUGGUCUUGAACUCGGGAUCUCACUGCCCAAGGAACUCUGUCUUACCCUCUCAAGUACAGGGAUUACAGGUGUCCACCUGGUGUGCAUACAUGUCAUGAUCCUAAACAAGCCAGCGUUCACCCCAGAAGAGAUGCCGUUCUCCAUCUUCCAAGACUAUUUGUUGUGCAGACAUUCUUAGGAUGAGAGCCCAUUACAAAACCACUGAAGACUUUCAGCCCGUAAAACACCACAGCUGCACGUGUGUGAGACCCAUGGAGUCACCUGCCCACAUCACAAUCUCACCGUGAGCUUCUCCUGCCAUGGCUAGCUGUCCCCAAUCUCCAGUCUCUACACCUUGGGUGGAGGACCCCACCUCCCCAUUGAUGGAUACAUGCUUCCCAAGUGCAGGUCCCUCUAUCCCUCUUCCUCUUCACCCCUCUCUCAGUAGGGUCUGACUCAGGCUCAGACUAGCCGGGCAGGCUCACUGGUCUUGCUGCCUCAGCCUCCCAAAUGCUGGGAUUACAGCCGCUCCUGAAGCACUGGCGUUCUCUCUGCCGCUCUCCAAGAUGUCCAUUGCUUAGGCUGUGUCCCUAGACCCUGGCACCCUUUACUCUCAACACUGCUUCCCUGAGUUGCGUGUCUCCCACGGAAGACUAUGCGGUUUUGUCCAACACUGAGCUAGCUGCAGUGCUACCUUCGCCAGCACAACAUCCUGAAUGGGCCUAUCGUGGGCUCUACUCACAAGCUCUAUGAAAAGAAAAUCUGCCAGAAUAAGACCCAGAGGCAGAGGCUCUCAUUCCCCUCCCCGACCCAACUCGUCAUCCUCUACAUUCUUCUACCGGUUCUCAGACUUGGAUUCGGCCUCCGUGGACUCAGACCUGUAGGAUCUGCUCCCAAAAGAGGACGCCUUACUUUACCAAAGCAAGGACUAUAAUGACGACUGCGAUGAGGAGAGUUAUUUGACUCCCAGGACAUAUGGGGAGCCCAAGUCUGUGGGCAUGUCCAAGAGCUUCCACCAUCCGGGGACCUCACUUGCAGAUGGUCACUCUUUCCAACACCAGGUGCGUGAUAUUUUCUCUCCUUCAGGAGGACAAGGAUAGAGAACCCCACAUCUACGGCCGACACAGCGCCUACCAGAGCAUCUCACACUACCACCCCAUUUCCAGCGUCUCCAGGAGCUCCCUGGGCUUAUCCUUUAUCCUACAAUCUCCACCUCUUCUGUGACAUCCUCUUCGUCUUCUCCCUCUUCAUGGCUUACCCGCCGCGCCAUCAGGCCAGAAAAACAGGCCCCUGAUUCCCUGCACUGGACUGGUAUCACCAGGCCCCACUCUGGGACCAGCUAUUGCCCUUCCUGGUCUAUGCUGCCUGUCUGCUGUUUGUUUACUACGCCAUACAAGUUGAAGAACGCAACCCUUUCUGGAUGGAUCCCCGAGAGUAUGGUUUCAGAGCAGCUCUUCACAGUUUUGGCAGAUUGCCUUAGCGGUAUUUGCUGGGGGAGGAGUAGAUGUGGGCUUUUUGUGUUCUAGUUAGGGGAUGGAGGGCCUAGCCUAGGGCAGUGUUUAUAGCCCACCUCCUUCUGCUAAGGAGGAAGCAAAUGCUGGCCUUCCCAGUGGGCCCACGUGUACCUUCUUCUGGAGUCUCAUAGCCCUGUUGCCUCUGACCCUUAAGGCUCCAGGGGGAAAGAACCUCAUUUCUUUAGAGGAAAGCUUGGUGGUAGUUGUCAUACAUGCCUGUUUAUUGUCACCUUUUCAUGGUGUAUUAACCAAAGGCCUUUGUUUUCGUGGAC
rnacentral:lncRNA from 1 species